AUUGAACGCUGGCGGCAUGCCUUACACAUGCAAGUCGAACGGCAGCACGGGGGCAACCCUGGUGGCGAGUGGCGAACGGGUGAGUAAUACAUCGGAACGUGUCCUGGAGUGGGGGAUAGCCCGGCGAAAGCCGGAUUAAUACCGCAUACGCUCUAUGGAGGAAAGCGGGGGAUCUUCGGACCUCGCGCUCAAGGGGCGGCCGAUGGCGGAUUAGCUAGUUGGUAGGGUAAAGGCCUACCAAGGCGACGAUCCGUAGCUGGUCUGAGAGGACGACCAGCCACACUGGGACUGAGACACGGCCCAGACUCCUACGGGAGGCAGCAGUGGGGAAUUUUGGACAAUGGGGGCAACCCUGAUCCAGCAAUGCCGCGUGUGUGAAGAAGGCCUUCGGGUUGUAAAGCACUUUUGUCCGGAAAGAAAUCCUCUGGGUUAAUACCUCGGGGGGAUGACGGUACCGGAAGAAUGAGC
rnacentral:rRNA from 1 species